ACAGAGGGUGCGAGCGUUAAUCGGAAUUACUGGGCGUAAAGCGCACGUAGGCGGCUUGGCAUGUCGGGUGUGAAAUCCCCGGGCUCAACCUGGGAACUGCAUCCGAAACUGCCUUGCUAGAGUAUGGGAGAGGGAAGUGGAAUUUCCGGUGUAGCGGUGAAAUGCGUAGAUAUCGGAAGGAACAUCAGUGGCGAAGGCGACUUCCUGGACCAAUACUGACGCUCAGGUGCGAAAGCGUGGGGAGCAAACAGGAUUAGAUACCCUGGUAGUCCACGCCCUAAACGAUGACAACUAGAUGUCGGGAGGGUUUGCCUUCCGGUGUCGUAGCUAACGCGUUAAGUUGUCCGCCUGGGAAGUACGGCCGCAAGGUUG
rnacentral:rRNA from 1 species